ACGAGAAGCUUGCUUCUCUGAUUUAGCGGCGGACGGGUGAGUAACACGUGGGCAACCUGCCCUACAGAUCGGGAUAACUCAKGGAAACCUGGGCUAAUACCGGAUAAUCCUUCGAAUCACAUGUUUUGAARUUGAAAGGCGCUUCSGCGUCMCUGUASGAUGGGCCCGCGGUGCAUUAKCUAGUUGGUGGGGUAACGGCCUACCAAGGCAACGAUGCAUAGCCGACCUGAGAGGGUGAUCGGCCACAUUGGGACUGAGACACGGCCCAAACUCCUACGGGAGGCAGCWGUAGGGAAUCUUCCACAAUGGACGAAAGUCUGAUGGAGCAACGCCKCGUGAGUGAUGAAGGUUUUCRGAUCGUAAAACUCUGUUGUAAGGGAAGAACAAGUACGUUAGGAAAUGAACGUACCUUGACGGUACCUUAUUAGAAAGCCACGGCUAACUACGUGCCAGCAGCCGCGGUAAUACGUAGGUGGCAAGCGUUGUCCGGAUUUAUUGGGCGUAAAGCGCGCGCAGGUGGUUUCUUAAGUCUGAUGUGAAAGCCCACGGCUCAWCCGUGGAGGGUCAUUGGAAACUGGGGAACUUGAGUGCAG
rnacentral:rRNA from 1 species